rnacentral:rRNA from 1 species
UUGAAUGGCCGCGGUAUUUUGACCGUGCUAAGGUAGCAUAAUCAUUAGUUUUUUAAUUGAAAGCUAGAAUGAAGGGUUGGAUGAAAAAUUAACUGUCUCAGUUGAAUUAAUAUUGAAAUUUAUUUUUAAGUGCAAAAGCUUAAAUAUUUUUAAAAGACGAGAAGACCCUAUAGAGUUUUAUAUAAUUAUUUAAAGUUUAUUUUAGUAUUAAGGUUAAGGGUUUAUUUAAUUUUAUUUUAUUGGGGUGAUUAAAAAAUUUGAAUAACUUUUUUAAAUUAUUUAUAUUAAUUUAUAAAUUAUUGAUCUUAAAGUUUUGAUUAUAAGAUUUAAUUACCUUAGGGAUAACAGCGUAAUUUUAUCAGAGAGUU